UACGGGGGGGGCAAGCGUUGUUCGGAAUUACUGGGCGUAAAGGGCGCGUAGGCGGGUGCUCAAGUCCGUGGUGAAAUCCUCCGGCUCAACCGGAGAACUGCCUCGGAUACUGGGUGCCUCGAGGGUGGUAGGGGUAUGCGGAACUAUCGGUGGAGCGGUGAAAUGCGUUGAUAUCGAUAGGAACUCCGGUGGCGAAGGCGGCAUACUGGACCACCUCUGACGCUGAGGCGCGAAAGCCAGGGAGCAAACGGG
rnacentral:rRNA from 1 species